AGGAGCCGUGUACGAGGCCUGUACGCACGGUUCUGUGAGAGGGGUGAAGCAGAGUUGAUCACUCUGCUUCACCCUACUCGAU
rfam:Desulfoplanes formicivorans DNA, contig: NODE_16, strain: Pf12B.